UUGGCGAACGGGUGAGUAACACGUGAGCAACCUGCCCUAUACAACGGGAUAACACAGAGAAAUUUGUGCUAAUACGGUAUAAGACCACAGUAUCGCAUGAUACAGGGGUAAAAGAUUUAUCGGUAUAGGAUGGGCUCGCGACCCAUUAGCUAGUUGGUGAGGUAACGGCCCACCAAGGCAACGAUCAGUAGCCGGCCUGAGAGGGUGAACGGCCACAUUGGGACUGAGACACGGCCCAAACUCCUACGGAAGGCAGCAG
rnacentral:rRNA from 1 species